rnacentral:hammerhead_ribozyme from 1 species
AUCUAGCUGACGAGUCUCAAAUAGGAUGAUACGCACAUCCUGGAU